rnacentral:siRNA from 1 species
CCACCACUGCUAUUCCACAGGUAC